CUAGGUAGGUGCAAGUACUCCCCGAGAAGAAUGUUCAUUUUGUCAAGAACAGCACCAUUUGCCACCCUUGUGGGAAUUUCAUAGUACUUACUAAUAUUGGAAUCAAGAAAAAGACUGUACUCCAGUGUAUGAAUGGAAUUGUGGGCAUCCUGGCAACUAGUGUUCCUUAUGAAGUUGUGGCUUUUUCUGACCAGCAGCUCUGUUCCCUCAUCUACAUAUACAACUUCCUCUGAAAUGACCAGAAAGAUCAAAUUAAAAGGCAAUGUUCUCCUGGACUAUACUUUUCUUCAGUUACUGUGGCACCUACCUGCCUAGUUACUCCUCCCUCCCAGAAUUUGAACUGGCCCUCUGGAACUGUGUCUUCCCUCAGUAAAAACCUAACGCUCAGUGUGAAUGGAAGAGGAAUUCUCGUGUAAAGGUCCAAAUGGCAGUUCUUCUGCAAAGCAGGUAAACCAUAUCUGGGCUUCCCCAAGUGUCUGUCUAAUUCAUGGCAUCUCUUUGUGGCGGGGAAUGUUUAUUAUAUAAUAUUAAGUAGAAAAAAGAACACGAAUGAUUUAUGCUCUGAUUAUGGUUAGGAUCUGAUAGAGUGCCUGAUGAACUAUGGAAUGAGGUUCGUGACAUUGUACAGGAGACAGGGAUCAAGACCAUCUCCAUGGAAAAGAAAUGCAAAAAAGCAAAAUGGCUGUAUGGGGAG